UACGAGGGGUGCAAGCGUUGCUCGGAAUUAUUGGGCGUAAAGGGUAGGUAGGUGGUCUCAUUUGUCUGGGGUGAAAGCCUAGGGCUUAACCUUAGAAGUGCCCCAGAAACGGUGAGACUGGAGUCCUGGAGAGGGUCGUGGAAUUCCCGGUGUAGCGGUGAAAUGCGUAGAGAUCGGGAGGAACACCAGAGGCGAAGGCGGCGACCUGGACAGGUACUGACACUCAACUACGAAAGCGUGGGGAG
rnacentral:rRNA from 1 species